GACGAACGCUGGCGGCGUGCUUAACACAUGCAAGUCGAACGGAAAGGCCCUGCUUGCCGGGUACUCGAGUGGCGAACGGGUGAGUAACACGUGGGUGAUCUGCCCUGCACUUCGGGAUAAGCCUGGGAAACUGGGUCUAAUACCGGAUAGGAGCCAUUUUUAGUGUGAUGGUUGGAAAGUUUUUUCGGUGUAGGAUGAGCUCGCGGCCUAUCAGUUUGUUGGUGGGGUAAUGGCCUACCAAGGCGGCGACGGGUAGCCGGCCUGAGAGGGUGGACGGCCACAUUGGGACUGAGAUACGGCCCAGACUCCUACGGGAGGCAGCAGUGGGGAAUAUUGCACAAUGGGCGCAAGCCUGAUGCAGCGACGCCGCGUGGGGGAUGACGGCCUUCGGGUUGUAAACUCCUUUCGCUAGGGACGAAGCUUUUUGUGACGGUACCUAGAUAAGAAGCACCGGCUAACUACGUG
rnacentral:rRNA from 1 species